rnacentral:rRNA from 1 species
GAAUAUUGCACAAUGGGCGCAAGCCUGAUGCAGCAACGCCGCGUGAGUGAAGAAGGCCCUCGGGUCGUAAAGCUCUUUCGAUAGGAAAGAAGGGUAUCAUGGUAAAUAACCACGAUACUUGACGGUACCUGAUGAAGAAGCACCGGCUAACUACGUGCCAGCAGCCGCGGUAAAACGUAGGACGCGAGCGUUAUCCGGAUUUACUGGGCGUAAAGCGCGGGCAGGCGGUGGUCCAAGUCGGACGUGAAAGCUCCCGGCUCAACUGGGAGAGGUCGUUCGAAACUGGGCCGCUGGAGGGCAGUAGAGGGGCGUGGAAUUCCGGGUGGAGUGGUGAAAUGCGUAGAGAUCCGGAGGAACACCAGAGGCGAAGGCGGCGCCCUGGGCUGCACCUGACGCUGAGCCGCGAAAGCUAGGGGAGCGAACGG